CCUACGGGCGGCAGCAGUAGGGAAUAUUGCUCAAUGGAGGAAACUCUGAAGCAGCCACGUCGCGUGAAGGAUGACGGCCCUAUGGUUGUUAACCUUCUUUUAUAUAGAAGUUAAAUGUUCCACGUAUGGAAUAUUGUCUGUACCAUAUUGAUACAGAUCGGCUAACUCCGUGCCAGCAGCCGCGGUAAUACGGAGGAUCCGAGCGUUAUCCGGAUUUAGUGGGUGUAAAGGGAGCGUAGGUGGAUUGUUAAGUCAGUUGUGAAAGUUUGUGGCUCAACCGUAAAAUUGCAGUUGAAACUGGAAGUCUGGAGUACAGGAGAGGUGGGUGGAAUUCGUGGUGUAGCGGUGAAAUGCUUAGAGAUCACGAAGAAUUCUGAUUGCGAAGGCAGCUCACUGGA
rnacentral:rRNA from 1 species